rnacentral:tRNA from 1 species
GCGUCGGUGUUGCAGUGGUAAGCGUGGUUGCCUCUCACCGCAGUCGGUCGGGGUUCAAUUCCCUUCGACGCC